AUGGUGGCGACACCGUGGUUCGCCGGCAGGAAGAGGCGGUGUAGUGGGGCAACGGGGAUGGACGGAGGAGAUGGGCUCGCUGGCCAGAACGAUGGCACGACGACAAAGGAAGAGGUCGCCGGAGGCGCUUUUGGUGCAGCACGGCUGGAGGUGUGGGCGCCACGGCGGGGAGGUGACGUGGCUCCGGUGGUUGAGGCCGAAUAG
rnacentral:rRNA from 1 species